UUUGAAGAAAAUGGCAAUAAGCUGGAAACCCGCCAGACCAGAGAAGAAUAUGAAUUUAUCCAAAAUGAAAAGAAAAGGGCAUUUUUUGAAGGAAGACAACAGCAACAGUCCACAAGUGUGAGGUCGAAAAGUGAGCCAGAUGAAGGAACAAGGUACAGAUUGAUACAAAACCACCAGCCAAGGGAAAGGACACAGUCACAAAAGCCUCCAUCCCCAACUGCUGUAACUUCACCAAGGGACAACAAGGCUGAGAAAAGAUUAACAAAAGAUGUAUACACAGAUCUAUCAGCUGUUCCUACCAGACCUAGCAGAAUCAGGGAUAACCCUUUCACUAAACCUCCUCCUGCCCCACGCAAUACCAAUGGAAACAAUUCUGUUUCUAACAGUGAUCAGACCUACAGAGCCAGGCCAU